rnacentral:sRNA from 1 species
UGAAUUUUUGUUAAUGAAGAUACUUACUUCCCAACCAUUCAUUAAUAUCUGAGCACCUUCGUCUUUAUUCAGUUUUAUGUUUUUUUGAUGAUCGCACAUAGUUCUUCUUCGAAGCCUUUAGAUUCGCUCUAAAAGUGGUUUUGAGGAUUUUAUUUGUGCGUAAAGUAAAUGAUCCUAUCUGCUUGAGUAAUCUCUGUUAUGUGUUAACCAUAGAGUUAUGCUCCAAUGUUAUAGGAUCACAUUUAUUUUAUGAUUCAAAAACUUUGCUAGGAUUCAUAUAAUCAAUGGCUAGUGUUUCUUUGAAAACGAGAUUGAACUGAAUUGGACUAUAACAAUACGAAUGAGCUUGCAAUGGGACUUAAUUAAGGCAC